rnacentral:tRNA from 1 species
GGCCUUAUGGUCUAGUCGUAUGAUUCUCCCUUUGGGUGGUGCCAUUGGCAGCAUGCAUGGGAGAGGUCUCGGGUUCAAUUCCCGAUGAGGCCC